GUCCUUGUAGUUCAAUGGAUAGAAUACAGCCCUCCGAAGGCUGGGAUGGCAGUUCGAAUCUGCCCAAGGGCA
rnacentral:tRNA from 4 species